ACACGGUCUCCUCCCACGGUCUACCCUCAUACACGGGACUAGAUCUUCCUCCUCUCCCCUCCCACGGUCUCCUCUUCUCCGUUAUCUCUCUCUCGCCCCAACCCCAGAUCGAAGAAAAAUCCCUCCACAAUCUUCCUUUGGAUUAUCUCUCUCCCCCAAUUAAAAAACAAAUGGAUUAUAUCUCUCAAACGGAAGGCAUGGAUUCCAUGGGCUCAAGGAGCUUUUUGCAUCAAUAUAAUUUUCCUCAUGUGUUUUGGAUGCCUCAUGGAGAUCAGAUCGGAGGACACCAACUAUACCCAUACUCCACGAUCUUUUCCUCUUGAUUAUCUCUCUUUCCCCCAAUGUAAAACGAAUGGAUCAAAUAGAAGACAUGGAUUCCGUGUGGUCAAGGAGCUUUAUGCAUCAAAAUAAUUUUCCUCAUCUACAUCAGGUACAAUUUUGGAUUCCACAUGGAGAUCAUGUCGGGGCACACCAACUAUACCCAUCGUUACUGCUCAAGAAUCUCCCACUCUGUACGAAGGUUGUCUCUGUAUAAGUUCAAAAUUAUGGCAUGAGACAUGGGGAUGCAAUUAAACUCAAUGGAGAAGGAAACCUGGAAAGGGAUGAACAGAGUAAUUAGUCUGUGUGAUGCCAUUAACCUUGACAACAAUGAACUUAUGGGACUUGGAAUGAUACUAGAUGAAGAAGUCAGUUUAUUGGUAAAUUUUAUGAUCUGCAAAUAGUACAUGAUACUAUGAGUUAUAUAGUAGCUAUUAUAAAUCUAGAGGUAUCUUCUCAGUGCAUUAUAUAACACUAUAUUGGCUUAGCUGCGUGUGUAACUGUGUGAUGUUAUUAAUUCGUGCAAGUAUCAUUCAAUCCAAAAUUGGCUUGACCGCCGUUGCAGCUGGCCACCGUCGUGAUGGUGGGUUCAUAACGCUGCUGCUUCUUAGGUGGAACGUCGUCGCUUCACGGCUGGUCGAAAUGCAGCGCCAAUGCAAAGGCAGGUUUAGCCAGCCCUGAAGUUCUGCAUCUAUGCGUACAUGUGAUGGCUUUCUAGGGCGUCACGUACAUAUAUGGUUUCUAGGCAAGUCAAUUCAGUUCGUUUUGAACAAAUGGAUUGUAUCUCUCAAACGGAAGGCAUGGAUUCCAUGGGCUCAAGGAGCUUUUUGCAUCAAUAUAAUUUUCCUCAUGUGUAUGAGAUUCGUUUUUGGUUUACUGUUGAAUCAAAUGUGGCUUUUCCUUGGAUUCAGAUUAUAUUUUUACUCUAUCGUGUCCUCUGAUAGCGUUGUGCUCUCCACGGAUUGGAUCUGAAUCAUCUCACGUACAGGUUUUGGAUGCUUCAUGGAGAUUAGAUCGGAGGACACCAACUAUACCCAUACUCCACGAUCUUUUCCUCUUGAUUAUCUCUCUUUCCCCCAAUGUAAAAUGAAUGGAUCAAAUAGAAGACAUGGAUUCCGUGUGGUCGAGGAGCUUUAUGCAUCAAAAUAAUUUUCCUCAUCUACAUCAGGUACAAUUUUGGAUUCCACAUGGAGAUCAUGUCGGGGCACACCAACUAUACCCAUUGUUACUGCUCAAGAAUCUCCCACUAUGUACGAAGGUUGUCUCUGGUCAGUUGAUGUCAUUGUUCCAUUGGUUUGUUACUCUUUUUUUCAGAUUAAAGCAUUGGAUUUGUAGCUUCCCUUGGACUAAACAAUAUAAGUUCAAAAUUAUGGCGUGAGACAUGGGGAUGCAAUUAAACUCAAUGGAGAAGGAAACCUGGAAAGGGAUGAACAGAGUAAUUAGUCUGUGUGAUGCCAUUAACCUUGACAACAAUGAACUUAUGGGACUUGGAAUGAUACUAGAUGAAGAGCUGGCCACCGUCGUGAUGGUGGGUUCAUAACGCUGCUGCUUCUUGGGUGGAACGUCGUCGCUUCACGGCUGGUCGAAAUGCAGCGCCAAUGCAAAGGCAGGUUUAGCCAGCCCUGAAGUUCUGCAUCUAUGCGUACAUGUGAUGGCUUUCUAGGGCGUCACGUACAUAUAUGGUUUCUAGGUGAACAGAAUAUUUUGUUUGGUUUUCAGGCAAGUCAAUUCAGUUCGUUUUGAUUAUUUCUUUGAAGGGAGGUCAAUCGAUUGGUGAGGUCAUCAACGGCUGUCUAUGGUUGUCUCUAGGUAUCAAAAAUUAUUUCCCGGGCUAUUGUGGACACAGGUUAUUGUCUGCAACUACUCAUGUUACAGGCAAUGCUGCCAGAAAAUGUUCUAAUGUCAUGGACACUGUUCACAUGCAGCUGUAGAAUUUAUGUCUAAGGACCUUAUCCACACAAGGAUACUAUUGAACCUUCUUUGACAGUUGGAGACUGAGAUCGAGCAGAAGUAUGGCAACCAUGUCGUGUGGAAAAGGGCCCAUGAACUAGCAUGUCAUUAUGUCACCGUGUCAGACAAUACAUUGCGUAAUGCAUGAGAGGCUCAUAUUAAGCUUGGCCAUCUUCUCUUGAUUUUUUUUCAAUCAGAUUGUCGUACUAGGGAAUUUGCACUGCUUACAAGUAAGGAUCGGCCUUCACCUCACUCUAUGCAUUGUAACAUUGUUAUUUAAUUUAGGUUAAAGUUAUGAUAAAUGCAUGCCUGAUUUAGAGA